UGGGGAAUUUUGGACAAUGGGCGAAAGCCUGAUCCAGCAAUGCCGCGUGUGUGAAGAAGGCCUUCGGGUUGUAAAGCACUUUUGUCCGGAAAGAAAUCCUUGGCUCUAAUACAGUCGGGGGAUGACGGUACCGGAAGAAUAAGCACCGGCUAACUACGUGCCAGCAGCCGCGGUAAUACGUAGGGUGCAAGCGUUAAUCGGAAUUACUGGGCGUAAAGCGUGCGCAGGCGGUUUGCUAAGACCGAUGUGAAAUCCCCGGGCUCAACCUGGGAACUGCAUUGGUGACUGGCAGGCUAGAGUAUGGCAGAGGGGGGUAGAAUUCCACGUGUAGCAGUGAAAUGCGUAGAGAUGUGGAGGAAUACCGAUGGCGAAGGCAGCCCCCUGGGCCAAUACUGACGCUCAUGCACGAAAGCGUGGGGAGCAAACAGGAUUAGAUACCCUGGUAGUCCACGCCCUAAACGAUGUCAACUAGUUGUUGGGGGAUUCAUUUCCUUAGUAACGUAGCUAACGCGUGAAGCUGACCGCCUGGGGAGUACGGUCGCAAGAUUAAAACUUAAAGGAAUUGACGGGGU
rnacentral:rRNA from 1 species